rnacentral:rRNA from 1 species
CCUACGGGAGGCAGCAGUGAGGAAUAUUGGUCAAUGGCCGGGAGGCUGAACCAGCCAAGUCGCGUGAGGGAAGACGGCCCUACGGGUUGUAAACCUCUUUUGUCAGGGAGCAAGGUGCAGGUCGGGACCUGCUGUGAGAGUACCUGAAGAAAAAGCAUCGGCUAACUCCGUGCCAGCAGCCGCGGUAAUACGGAGGAUGCGAGCGUUAUCCGGAUUUAUUGGGUUUAAAGGGUGCGCAGGCGGAGGCUGAAGUCGGCGGUAAAAUCUCGGGGCUCAACCCCGCUCCGCCGUUGAAACUGUGUGCCUUGAGUGCGCGAAGGGUAGGCGGAAUGCGUGGUGUAGCGGUGAAAUGCAUAGAUAUCACGCAGAACUCCGAUCGCGAAGGCAGCCUACCGGCGCGCAACUGACGCUGAUGCACGAAAGCGUGGGUAUCGAACAGGAUUAGAUACCCGUGUAGUC